rnacentral:rRNA from 2 species
UGGGCGUAAGCGCGCGCAGGCGGUUUCUUAAGUCUGAUGUGAAAGCCCACGGCUCAACCGUGGAGGGUCAUUGGAAACUGGGGAACUUGAGUGCAGAAGAGAAAAGCGGAAUUCCACGUGUAGCGGUGAAAUGCGUAGAGAUGUGGAGGAACACCAGUGGCGAAGGCGGCUUUUUGGUCUGUAACUGACGCUGAGGCGCGAAAGCGUGGGGAGCAAACAGGAUUAGAUACCCUGGUAGUCCACGCCGUAAACGAUGAGUGCUAAGUGUUAGAGGGUUUCCGCCCUUUACUGCUGCAGCUAACGCAUUAAGCACUCCGCCUGGGGAGUACGGUCGCAAGACUGAAACUCAAAGGAAUUGACGGGGGCCC